AUUGCACGAUGGCGGCAGGCCUAACACAUGCAAGUAGAACGAGCGGCGGACGGGUGAGUAAUGUCUGGGGAACUGCCCGCUGGAGGGGGAUAACUACUGGAAACGAUGGCUCAUACAUCAUACUAUCUGAUGUGCCCAUAUGGGAUUAGCUAGAAGGUCGGGUAACGGCUACCCUAGGAGACGAUCCAUAGCGGGGCUGAGAGGAGGAUCAGCCAGACUGGACCUGAGACACGUCCCAGACGCCUACUGGCGGAAGCAGUGGGGAAUAUUGCAAAAUGGGCUCAAGCAUGAUGCAGCCAUGCCGCGUGUAUGAAGAAGGCCUUAGGGGUGUAAAGUACUUUCAGCGGGGAGGCGUUACUCGCAGAAGAAGAACCGGCUAACUACGUGCCAGCAGCCGCGGUAAUUC
rnacentral:rRNA from 1 species